rnacentral:rRNA from 1 species
AAUAGAUACCCAGGUAGUCCAUGCCGUAAACGUUGGGAACUAGAUGUAGGGUCCAUUCCACGGAUUCUGUGUCGCAGCUAACGCAUUAAGUUCCCCGCCUGGGGAGUACGGCCGCAAGGCUAAAACUCAAAGGAAUUGACGGGGGCCCGCACAAGCGGCGGAGCAUGCGGAUUAAUUCGAUGCAACGCGAAGAACCUUACCAAGGCUUGACAUAUACCGGAAACGGCUGGAAACAGUCGCCCCGCAAGGUCGGUAUACAGGUGGUGCAUGGUUGUCGUCAGCUCGUGUCGUGAGAUGUUGGGUUAAGUCCCGCAACGAGCGCAACCCUCGUUCUUUGUUGCCAGCACGUCAUGGUGGGAACUCAAAGGUGACUGCCGGGGUUCAACUCGGAGGAAGGUGGGGAUGACGUCAAAUCAUCAUGCCCCUUAUGUCUUGGGCUUCACGCAUGCUACAAUGGCCGGUACAAAGGGCUGCAGUACCGUAAGGUGGAGCGAAUCCCGAAAAAGCCGGUCUCAGUUCGGAUUGAGGUCUGCAACUCGA